GUCACACCAGUGUCAUGCUGGCCAGAGAUGAUCCUGACAACCAUCCCUGCUCCAGGUAAAUUGAUUUAAUGGUCAGGAAUGCAUUUGGUGGCCAGUCUUCCAGGGGGCCCAUGAAAGUUCAGGGUGAGUUGUAUGAUGAUUGUUUUAUAGUAGAAAUAAAUGAUUGAUAAUACCUGCUUUCAACUUCUCCAGGAAAAGGUAAUAUUUUUCAUGCUUUGUAUUGUCCGGCUCUAGGGCUUUAAUGACAAAUUUGUUCGAGUGCCCAAACAGGUCUAAUGCCCUUUCUGAAGGCAGUUUGGUGCUGCUGGAAGGUACAUUGAUAGGACUCCAUUAGGACAAGGGUGUAUCUGACAAAAUAAUGUUCAUAUUGUCCCUGGCACUCUGUGGGUGGAUCUCUGCCAUUUGUUAAGGAGUUUCACCUUUGGUAAUUGCAUACUUACUCAUUCACACUAUAAAUAUUCAUUGACUCCCUUCUAUAUGCUUGGCAUUGUGCUAGGUACUGGGGUUAUGGUAUAGGAAGCAAAACAUGCUUUUGUCUAUUAAAGAAAGGCAAACAGACUAUGUAUAAGAAGUACCAUAAUUGAAAUUCCAGAAAGAAUGCUUGAAAAACAUGAUUUCUAUUCCACUCUAAUAAAUCUCCUAUAGUAGAGUUUCAUGUUUCAGGUGGCUCAUAACUAGAAAGAUAUUUCUGGUAAGGAGGCUUUUAAAUCACACCUCCAUGUCUGUUGCUGGUAUCUAAAGCAAACUGAUAUUUCAGUCAGCAAUCCAAAGCAACUGAACUUCAAGAAAAGGGCCAGAAGAUCAAUGCUGGGAGCUCUCUUCAGUGGCUUCAUGCCUAGCAUCUAUUUCUGCAGAAUAGACUCUCUCAGCUGUCACACUGGGUCUAGUAGGAGAUCUAGAAACCUUCAUGUCUGGACUGCAAUACUUCAGCUGUAGGUAGAAAUGCCUUCACAGAAUCAGGAUUUCACACGAUGUCUCUGACUUUUAUAAAAGAUGGGCAUAAGGAAGCCUCUGAGUCUUUUGUAAACUUACAUUUGAGGCUUAAUCAUUAACAUUUUCUUUUUUCUUCCCUAAAAAUACAGGUGACAAAUUUAUUUGGAUAUUGAAUUCCCAUUUAGCAGGAGUAUACCUGGCUCAUGGUAGUUGCCACAUAAGUAUUUGCUGAAUGAGUGGAUGAAUGAACUAGUAUAUAUUGAGUCUAGUAUUUGCUAGAGUUUGUGCUAGGUGAUUGGUGAUUGUACAUGUUAUCUAUUAAUUCCUCUGGUAACACACUUUUAUGUUUUAAAAUCUUUUAAUAAAGUAAAAGUUUUA
rnacentral:lncRNA from 10 species